rnacentral:rRNA from 1 species
UACGAAGGGGGCUAGCGUUGCUCGGAAUUACUGGGCGUAAAGCGCACGUAGGCGGAUUGUUAAGUCGGGGGUGAAAUCCUGGAGCUCAACUCCAGAACUGCCUUCGAUACUGGCGAUCUCGAGUUCGGGAGAGGUGAGUGGAACUGCGAGUGUAGAGGUGAAAUUCGUAGAUAUUCGCAAGAACACCAGUGGCGAAGGCGGCUCACUGGCCGAUACUGACGCUGAGGUGCGAAGCGUGGGAGCAAACAGG